AUUGAACGCUGGCGGCAGGCCUAACACAUGCAAGUCGAGCGGAUGAAGGGAGCUUGCUCCUGGAUUCAGCGGCGGACGGGUGAGUAAUGCCUAGGAAUCUGCCUGGUAGUGGGGGAUAACGUCCGGAAACGGGCGCUAAUACCGCAUACGUCCUGAGGGAGAAAGUGGGGGAUCUUCGGACCUCACGCUAUCAGAUGAGCCUAGGUCGGAUUAGCUAGUUGGUGGGGUAAAGGCCUACCAAGGCGACGAUCCGUAACUGGUCUGAGAGGAUGAUCAGGCACACUGGAACUGAGACACGGUCCAGACUCCUACGGGAGGCAGCAGUGGGGAAUAUUGGACGAUGGGCGAAAGCCUGAUCCAGCCAUGCCGCGUGUGUGAAGAAGGUCUUCGGAUUGGAAAGCACUUUAAGUUGGGAGGAAGGGCAGUAAGUUAAUACCUUGCUGUUUUGACGUUACCAACAGAAUAAGCACCGGCUAACUUCGUG
rnacentral:rRNA from 1 species